GAAGGAAGGCGAGGAGGGAGACACGAGGAUUAUUUGUCCAUCAUAAAUAAACUUGAAGAAAAAUAAACCAGAGCACCAGAAAAGCAAACAGGAGGAAGCAACCCCAUCAGGAACAGAUCAAAGGGAAGCAGGGCAAUGCUGCACAGGGUCUGGGGAGCAGGAGAGGGAUUGCCUCAAAAGGAAAGCACUGCGUGGGGAGUUUUGCCACCUGGGCUCUGCUCUGCCAUCCCCAUGCAGGUGGGGUGGGAGCUCUAUGGACUCCAUUUUUGGUGACUUUACAGGAACGGGCAUCGCAGGGGCUCCCAGCUCCCCACACUGCAGUGGGCACAGAGUGGGGACACAGCCCUGGUGGGAGCAGUGCCCUCCCGUGCUGCCCCCGCUCUCAUCUCCCAGCGUGUAGCUGCAAGUGCCGUGUGUUUACAAACGCAGCAUUGCAAGAUCCCUUGAACUGUGUCCUAGUACAAAAGAGGCUUUGAAACAAGAACCACGUUGUCAUGGCAUGUUUCAGGCCAGCAGCACCAGACUGAACCAGAUAAUUGCUGUUUCUGCUUUAGCCGCUGUGUUGUGAGAGAAGGCGUUGGGUUGAGCAAGGCUCAGCCCUCGGAGUGGGGCUCAGGGAUGGGGGUGGGGAUGGGGUGCGAUGGGCUCUCAGCACACCCGUGGUGGGGUCUGUGGAACCAGGAAAGAAAGGUAUGGGCACAGCGUGGCGUAAAAGGCAGCGGACUCCUGGAGCACUGUUAGUCCUUGGCACAGGUACAGAGCUCACGUCGGUGCCUUUGCCUGAGGAUGUGCACAGUGUGAAUGGAUGUGGCUCUGAACAGCUCAGGGAGAAUUUAAGGUUGGGGUCUCAGCACAGAUCUUGGCUCCAAAGGGGGAACGUGCUGGGAUGGGGCAUCAAUGGCAAAACAUCACAAUGGCCCUUUGCUUCUUUCCCCGCUCGCUGGCAGCCCGUCACCCUUUCCAUGGUUUAAGUGAGUGUCCAAAGGUCACAGCGAACUCAAGUCCCUGCCCCGUGGCUCACGUCGUCCAGUGAAUAAGCAGUGGGUGUGCGGCACCUGAAUCAAAGCUCCCUCCUGCUGCAGAGCAGAGCACGGGGCAGCACUGGGCUGUGAGCCUGCAGCGCGUGCUCUGCGCCUGGCUGCACCCGGGUGGGAGUGGGGCCACUGGGAUGCUGCCCUGGUGGAUGCUGCCCCGGGGAUAAUACCCUGAGAGAUAACUGCCCCAGGGGAUGCUCUCCCCGAGUGAUGCAGCCCCGAGGGAUGCCCGCCUCAAGGGAUAUUCACCUGAAGAGAUGUUUACCCUGAGGGAUGCUCACCCCAAGGGAUGCUGCCCCAAGGGCCGCCCCAGCCCCAUCACCUCCCCCGCGGGGCGUUUCAGUCUUGCAGCCACCACAGCUGUGUGCAAUGCUCUGAGCACUGUCAGCUGCAGCCGACGAGGGGAAGAUGUGAUGGAGCGGAGUGUCGCAAGGGGCAGGGGCACAGCUGGGGCUGAUGACGGGGAGCAAAGGCAAGCCGUUAACACUGGGCCAUUUCCUCUGCCGCUGCUGACUGCACGGAGCCCACGCUGAUUUUCUGCGUUUCCUCGCUUUGCUCACUUCCAGGUGCUCAUCCCAGGGGCAGGCGGUGGGGCCGCUGCCCGGCGCUUCCCGCUUAGCCCUGGAUCCGCUCCAGCGCGCGUGAGCAGCACGAGCCCGUGGGGAGCGCCGGGAGGCGCCGCUCGGAGGG